CUCUGCCUCCUUUUUUUUUUUUUUUUGGUUUAACCAAAACUUCAUACAUAUACACAUAAAUAACUGAUAUGUGAAUAUUUAUUCUGUGUAAUUCAGCCCUCUCAUGUCACGGCUGAGAUGAGAAAAUAUGAACAAGGAUACAAUUACUGGUCAAUUUUGGAAGAUGCAGAAGAGGAGGUCUUUGACAUCCGGCUCAUAGAACCAGUAUUAUUUGAAUCCAAUCUGAAGGGGAAUGCAAGUUCUAGUGGAUCAGGAAAAUCCAGGUUGUGCAAAACUUUAUACUUUGUUUGAUAAUGUUGAUUUGUUGUUUUUGAUUUAUAUAGAGAUGGAGAAGAGAAAGAGGAAGGGGAGAUAGCUAGGUGGGAGGAGAGAUAACAUUGUUGAUAAGGAGCGCGCGAUGAGAUAGAUUUUAAAAAAAUAAAAAUAAAAAAGAAGCAUUAUUUGUAAUCCCCCAAUGCUCCCGCGCUAGCGUGGGGCGUUAAUAGGGUUAUAUAUUACCUAAUUGUCAUUUGUACUCCCACUCAUGACACACACUUCACGUGCAAAUAGCUUCAUCUUUUAAAAGUAAAAGCUUAAAAGAAAUUUUGGAAUCCAUUUUUUGUCAUUUCAUAAUGUGCUCCUUCGUAAAUCACAUUUCUUAUAAUAUAAUUGAUUCUCACAAUAAUUGCAGAAUAUUGAUAAUCUUAGUAAUAAAAGUGAUUAAUGUUUUGCGCCAUUGGUAAUAAGUUUUGAAUUAAUCAUAUUUUUUCUUCUAUGAAAUUGUAGUGCUGCUGCCUCCAAGGCCAAAGAGAAGCAACCUUCAGAGAGUUAGCAAGAUAAAACUACAGAAGAUGAGGCUUGACCAUCCACAUGGAAAUGGUUGCACAUCAAGAAUGAAUUUUACUUUGUGAUCAAAUUUAGUUAAUUUGAGUUGAAAGAUCAUUAGACUUUAUGUAAACCUGUUUUCUGCGUAUCGUGCAUUUUGAGAUUAUCAGUUUUUUCAGUACUUCGUUUUUGCUUCCAGUUCCUCCAACAGCAGAAAUCAAAGACAAGAUAGGAGCGAUGGAUGCAUCUAGUGUUUUUUAAUAUUCUUGCAAAAGCUCAAGCUGGUAUUGAUGUCUUUUACUACUCCUAAAUUAUUCUUUCAUGGUUUACUAAUUUGAAUGUAGUAUCUUAAUAGAAGGAAGAUAAAUUUGUACAGGAAAACAGAUGCAUAAACACAAAUCAGCAGAAAAGUAACCACUCUUGUUUAAAAUGACGAAUGCGGAGCUGUUGCGGCGCUGUUACAUCUUUAGCAACGGUCGAAACCGCCGAGAGGCUAUACCGUUAUACUCGGUUUUUCCAAUUUUUUUUAAAAAGAAAUAGUAUAACCGCACGGCUAUACUCGGAUUUCACCAAUUUUUUUAAAGAAACUAAUUUUUUCCAAAUGGUAUAGCCGUACGGCUUUACUCGGUUCUUUUUUAAAUAGUAUCGCCGUGCGGCCAUACUCGGGUUUUAUUUUUUUUAAAAAGAUAUCGUAUAGCCGGGCGGCUAUACUCGGUUAUUUCUAAUUUUUUUUUAAUAAGAAAUAGUAUGGCUGCGCAGCGAUACUCGGUUUUCAGAUUUUUUUAAAAAAGAAAUAGUAUAGCCGCGCGGCUAUACUCGGUUAUCUCUAAAUUUUUUUAAAAAGAAAUAGUAUAGCCGUUCGGCUAUACUCGGUUAUCUCUAAUUUUUUUAAAAAAAGAAACAGUAUAGCCGUGCUCUAAUUUUUUUAACUUACUCGGUGAUCGCUAACUUUUUUUAAAAAGAAAUAGUAUAGCCGCGCGGCUAUACUCGGUUAUUUCUAAUUUUUUGCUGCAUAGCGAUACUUGGUUUUCAGAUUUUUUUUUAUAAAAGAAAUAGUAUAGCCGCGCGGCUAUACGCGGUUAUCUCUAAUUUUUUUAAAAAAAGAAAUAGUAUAGCUGCUCAGCUAUACUCGGUUUUCAUAUUUUUUUUAAUAAAAGAAAUCGUAUAGCCGCGCGGCUAUACUAGUUUUCACCUAAUUUCUGGAAAAGAAAUAGUAUAGCCGCGCGGCGAUACUCGUUUCCCCCCUAAAAAUAGUAUAGCCGCGCUGCUAUACCCUUUUUUCAAUUUUUUUAAAAGUGUAAAUGAAAUAGUAUAGCAGCACGGCCAUACUAUUUAUUAAAAAAUCACAAUCUUGCAUUUUUCUUCCGACAAGUAAGAAAUAAUCUUAGCCUCUCAAAUUCUUUCAUAGUUAGUAAAAUACGGAAUGGAAAAAAUACUAAUAAAAUACAUACGUGAUUUAUUCAGCAAAGUUUUUGCAAAUUUGCUCCAUCACAUAAACUUAAAAUUUGCUAAAAUGUCGUAAUAACAAGACAAAAGAUUUAAUCAAGGGAACAGUAAAUAUGGAAGAAAACCAAGAAUAAAGAAAUUGAUGAAAUGAUAGAACAAAAUUCGUGCAUUCUUUAAUCAACUAAUCAGCAUUUAUUCUAAAUAACAUAAAACUUGCUUAUUACUAUACCUACAGUUAUGCUCUAAACUAUCGUAUGUCACUUCAAUUUAUGCUCCCUUGUUGCUCACGUUAGCUACAAUCUUGCUUAGGAAUUAUUGGGAUUUCCAUAGAUGGCAAAAGGGUCUCCUUAUAAAUUGUGGCUUUAGCUUCCACUUCCACCACCAACAAACUUGGAGAAUCAAAGAGAGUUCAAGAAAAUAAUCAAAGAAAGUGAGGAGAAAUGGACGCUAGUGUGUUGAGGGCAGUGGUUUUGAUGAGCAUGCUUGUGCUUUCAAUAGCCCAAGCUGAUAUGAAUCCUUCCUAUACCAAUGCGGGUCCAAAUGACAAUCCUCUUGGUCAAGUUGAUGAUGUAUAUCCUCGCUCCAAUACAAAUCAAGUGGUUCCAAAUGGCCAUAUUAUUUCUUGUGGUUUAAAAUGUGCGACAAAGUGCCUGAUGAACCCAAUAUGUCUUGGCAUGUGCAUGAUCAGAUGCAAACAUAGGCCUUCAAAUGUUGUGUAUAAGUGUACACAUAAUUGUGCCAACUCCAUUGCCACCACAAGCACUUCCAAUUCUGGUAAUACGCAUAUUUAAUUACUCUUUUUCUAUAACUUUAUCAUGUUUGUUUGAAAUUAUAUUUUUAAUUAUUGAUAUUCUUUUUGCUUUUGUUUUAUUUGCUUGAUUGUAGAUAACCGCUAUGUGGAAGGUUUCGUGGAUUCAUGCUAUGAGAGUUGCUCCAAGAAUAACCAGAUAAAUUAAUUGAUCGGCUUGUUCCCUAGUUCAACGCAGAUGUCUUGCUGCAGAAAAUAAAUGACCAAUUAUGUCUUUCAUAUCAACUUCUUAUUAAAAACAAGAAUAAGAUUUACGAAAUUACUACUUAUAUUGCUUUAUGGGCCCUGUUUUUUGGGUUCAGCAUGCCGUACGUGUAGUUUCUUCGUUUAUUUCUCUUUUCAUUCAUUCUAGCCAUACGGCCAAGAAGCUCAAGCUUGAGCACCUUCAAACCAUACCCGUACGUUAUCAAUCAACUAAAGAUCCAGACAAACGACAUCUAUUCUAUAAUAUAAUCAAUUUAAUUAGCAUCGUUUGCUGUCAUCCCCACUGAGUUAUACAUUAAUAGAAAACCUCAAAAAAACCACACACAAGGAACUCAAAAUAUUGUUGCCAUUAUCAAAUCAAUAAUGUUAUUUGGAUCACAUUGUUGAUCACCUCUAUUAAAGAGGUGAGCCCCGUCAGUAUAUGUAGGACUCACCUGUAUUCGAGAGAUAAUCAGCAAUGCAGUCUAAAUAGCAACACCAACAACCUUAUCAAAUAGUAUAUCGUUGGAACAUGACGAUCAUAUAAAAAUAAAAUUAAUAUAUUAAAAAGGUGUAUAGACAAACUUGGGGAUGAACACAUAAAAGAAUUUGGAAAUCGGUUUUUGUGGAUUGAAUUUUCUAUAAGUAAGGACUGGAAAACAAAGAAACUAACAAUUUGUAAUUUUCUAUAUUACGCUGAGUUAAACUACAGAAUCGAGUAGCUGGACUUGUUGUUUUUAAAGAGGCCUGACAAAAUGUUAGAUUGUAAUGUUCAUAUAGAAUUAAUGAAACUUAGCUUUUAUUUAAAAAUAAAAAGAAAGAACAAGAUUUAUACAUAUAUACAUAUAUAUAUUGGAAAAGUUGUGAAUCUAUGAUGCUAUUUUUACAUAUAUGUUUUGCUUGUCUAGAGAAAUAACUACAAGGAGAGGUUUCACACACACACACACACAAUUAAAAAUGCCAUGGGGGCAAAAUAAAAGCAUAGCAAGCCAACUUCACUAGGCACAUAAUUGUGCCGACAAAAAGACUUAAUCAAAUGGACUCGAUGCAAAUGAUCGUCAAAGAAAAAGGCUCCAUUACAGUCAAGAUCAACUAAAUCAAUUAGUCACAGCUCGUUACUUUCCCAUCAAGUUUGAAUUCCCUUUCCGUAAAUUAGAUUAAUUUAAAAUAAUUUAAACUAUCUCUAGUAUGAUUUAUUUCAAGAAAAAUGAUAGUCCGUUCCGUCCUGUUUUUUAUUUGGCGUGACAAAGUUCAAAGUCACAACAAAUUAGUGACCAACCUAAUGUUGCCCUAAAUCUCUAGAAAUAGAAAAGGAAAAUCAUAGUUAUAUAUGAUUUUACUUGGAACGAGGGUCCAAGUGAUGCAACAGUCAAACCCUGGAACCUUUAAAAAACAGUUAGGAUCCGAAACCUCUCCACCGUUUUACACUCUCCUCUGACAGGAGUGGGUGAGCUCAAAUCAAGGUGGACCCACACAGUUAAACUCCCAGCAGACACAUCAACAGGUACAGUGACAUAGAUACACCCAAAGGGCUAAAAUUGGUCAUCCACAAUUUUGUUGAACAGUUAUAUUUUGGCCUUUGAUUUUGAAGUCUGUAAACUGCAGGUGCCAGCUUUCAAAUCUGAAGCAAUUGAGAGCAGAUAUCAAAUUAUGGGGAGGAUGGAGUAUUUGGCUCUGAAGAGUAGUGAUCCAGACACCAAUGAGUUGAUAAAUUCAGACAUCAAUGAUCUCAAGAUUGCAGCCAAGAAACUCAUCAAUGAUGCCACUAAGCUUGGUGGGUUGGGUUUUGGGACUUCUUUUCUCAAAUGGGUUGCCUCCUUUGCUGCCAUGUGAGUCAUCUUAUUUGUUUCCUUGAGGACCGAGUUGCUUUAAGCUUUGUUUUAUUGGCUGGAAUUGGGAAAGUGACACUGAUGUGCGCCCUUUUUGAUUUUCUAAUUGUUAAAAAGGGAAAAGUCAAGAAAGUGAUUUUUUAAAAAUCUUCCUCUCUUGAGUAUAAUAUUUCAUUCCCUUAAUCUGGGAAAAAGGAAAACAAUGUAUCACAGUUUCCUGCAUAUGUUUAUUUUAGUUAUUGUUUUCUUUAAGAUUUUGGCCUUCCUAUUUAUUGAAACAUCCAUUGUUAGUCUGUAACUUCUUGUUUUUGGUCCACCAAUAUGUCAGAACUUGACCUGUUAUGUUUCACACCUAAAUUUUUCUUCCCCUCCGAGAAACACUUAUGUGAAACGGGUAUAACACUAUUUUGCUAUGUGCGGUCAAUCAUGGCAUGCCAAGCCUGAUAACUUUUCCAAGUGGGAAUAUGUUUCAUACAAGUUUUUACGCUUCCUGAGGCCCAGUUCAUCCUGUCUUUAGCUGUGACCUAAAUCCCAUAUCAUCUAAAGUUUUUAUAUGGUCAAUAGUCUAGAAAGCCAUUGAUUGACAUGAAGUAAGCCACGAAUUGACUUACUUUUUGUUUUUGGGUAUGAAAUAAGUUCAAGUAGAUUAGCUUGUGGCCAAGUAGGGCUCAACAGAUCAAAAAUAUGUGCCCCAACCCCUACUAUUUUACUUGGAUGCACCAACACAUAAUUUUGUCCAUUCUGAUGUCUAUUUCCAUUGAUGUAACCCUAUAACUCAGACUUCUGCUUGGUUAUCCAUUCUGAUAUCAAUGAGUUUCUGGUUCCAUGGGCUACUUCACUGGAUAGGGUAUAAGCUUUACAUGAAAGUCCCUUCCAAGUUAAGCCCUUUAAUGGUGUUUUACUUCAUUUCCAGCAUGUGGUUGUUAUGGAUAUGAGCUAGUGUUGUACAAGAAAGCAAUGCUCAAGAUCUAGUCCUUGCUUGGAUACCAAAAGAAUGUGAAACAAUGAAGAAUGCUAACUGUUUUGGACCGUCGUGCAUUUUGGUGGUGUUAUUUUCACUCAGACAGAGUUUAAUUGUUGCUGUUUAGAAUUUAUUUGUUUUCUCCAAAUAAUUAGCCCUUGAUUCAAACCAUACGAUCAAGAGGCUUCAAUUGUUGACAACUAAUUACUGAACACUGUCUCUGAUGUCCUAUCACUCGCCUAAAUUGAUUCAAUCAUCAGUUAGCAAUUCCAUCUGUAUAAUAUAAUAUGCCCUGCAUAUUUGCCUCGAUUGCUUCUUCCCAUUGGCUGUUACCUGCUGCAAGAGCACAUAAACUUCCAGGUUAGAUUUUGUUCACUAGUACAAAAUUUGUCUGAGAAAGUAUUUUCAAUGCUGCAGAUAUCUGUUGAUAUUGGAUCGAACCAACUGGAGAACAAAUAUGCUGACUUCACUUUUAAUCCCUUACAUUUUCUUCAGUCUUCCUUCAGUGCUCUUCAACCCCCUAAGGUGAUAAUUUCUCUUAUUGGUGCACAUUUUCUUGUUUGCUUUUCACAUCCUUCUUUUGUUCUCAAUAAUCUCAACUCAUUGACAUUUCUUCAAUAUAAUGCAGAGGAGAGGUUGGAAAAUGGAUUGCUUUUAUUGCUGUUGUACUGAGGCUUUUCUUCCCAAGACAUUUCCCAGGUAUAGGCUCAAGUCACUGCACUGAUUUUUCUCUAUCCUUCUCAAUUCUACAGACUUAAGUUGCUUUGUCCCAAAUAUAUUAGUCUUCACAACCUCAACUUUAUCAAAAAAAAAUUAUAAGCAUUAUGGUUUUUGUAUUAGUCUUCAAAUCAUAGCCUUGUUCUAUGAUCCUAAUUUCAUUGCAGAUUGGCUACAGAUGCCCGGUUCGUUGAUCCUUCUUCUUGUUGUGGCUCCCAACUUUUUCGCGCACACAUUGAAGGACAGCUGGGUUGGUGUCUUGAUAUGUCUUCUCAUUGGUUGUUACCUGCUGCAAGAGCACAUCCGGGCUUCAGGUGGCUUCAGAAAUUCCUUCACACAGAGCCAUGGAAUAUCAAACACUCUAGGAAUUAUCCUUCUCUUAGUCUACCCUGUUUGGGCAUUGGUUCUCCAUUUCAUCUAAGCAUUGUAGUAAACAACAGUUUCUACCAAUUGUUCAUGUGCUGCAACUUGCAAACAGCAUAUCUCCAUCUUCUCUUUAUAAGAAUUGGAUUUCAGUUGCAAUUCUAUCUGUUGAUCAAAUUUUGGUUUCUGCUUCUACUCCAAUUAAUUUGAAUAUGCAACACUGAAAUAUAUGCAGUCCAGAAAAAAGGUCUGAAAUAUAGAAAGGAACAUUAUCUCUCUGUGGACUGUCACUGAGUCUUCAUUUAGUGAAUCAGGAACAUUCAAAGUAAAACAUUUUUGGAAUACCAAAAUCUCUCAAUUGUUAGCUGUUUCUGUCUUCUCCCAAUGAACACCCUUUUGGACAUUGCAUCAUGAAACAUAUUCCCUCCAAUUGAUUAAUGAAAUUGUCAUCGAUGGUUUUGUUAGUACCAUACCAUUGUUUUGGUCUCACGCUUAGCCCCCCUGCUCGUAUAAUGUAACACAAUUUAUAGGGAAUCCAAAUACAAACCCAUGGACAUAGUGAUUUUACAGUUUUACGAGCAUGUGGGCAUUGCAGUUUUAUCAUAAACCUGGUGUUCCUGUGUGAUUUUACAAUUUUAUUAUCGAUCAUUCAAUUUUUGUCAUCAACAAAUUUCAGUCUCAAUUGUAUAUAUACGAAUGCUAGGGGCAUUGCAUAUGUGAAUUAAGUCAGUUAGCUGAAUAUUGUGUAUGAUCUCAUACACUCGAGUUUAAAUCCCCCUCCAUUCAAUUUAGAAUUCCAUUUUGUCAAAAAAAUUGGCAGGCAGUUCAGGUUAAGAAUUUCUCAACAUUUUUUUUGGAUUCAACUUUUGUAUAACCGCAUUCAUAUAAAACCGCCUAAAAAUGUGAUUUUCUUUUUGUUGUUUAUGUAUUUGGGUUUAUAUAUUAUUUGCAGGCAGAGGAUUUACUUGAGGCGCCUAAAAGCGGCAAGGCCCAAAAUUUAUUAGCCCAUACGUACAAGUUUAAACUUCAAAUCUAGGGCCCAUGGUUGCGUUCUGUCAAUGAUGGCAUAUUGGUAAAUUCCAGCACCGCGAAAACCCAAAACCCUAACCCUAAACAGCCUCACUGAGGCCUAUAAAACCAACACACGAAUUGAGUAACGGAGACCAUCGCAAGUCGAAAUCAACCUUCUCCAAGUCGCUCUUCCGUUUUGCUCUGUCUUUUGCUCUGCGUCGUCGCAGUCAUAGGCUAAUCAUUCUGCUUUGAUUUUCCAUUAAUGUUUGCUUUGUUAUUCUCAAAAUAUCUUCCUUCCUUUGUUUUCUCUUUAUUUUGAUUCUGAAAUCUGGGUUUUUGAAGUGUGUGUUGGGGAUUCUCGGUGAUGAACAACAAUGAUGACGAGUCCGAUCCAUUCAUAUAUAAAAUCGUGACGACAAAACGAGGCAUUUGUCUGAGAGAAUAAUGCCCAAUUUACCAUUCUUUUCAAUCUUUCUUCCUUUUUUUUUUUAAAUAAAUAUUUUCUGGGUUUGUUUAGAUUAUUUUGUUUUGACGAUUUAAAGGCAGGCAUGGUGAUGAUGUGUAUCAUCUGAUAUUCAUUUUUGAUGAAUUUACUUACCUCCUACUCAUACUGAAUGCCUGCUCAUCAAAUUCUAAUUUCCCUUCUGAUUAAAGUUUUGAUCUUUUGUUUUCGUGUGAUUUUGAUAUAAAAAGCUUUCGAUUUUCUCUUUGAAAAUAACAAAUUUUUUGUUUUUUCUUUGUGGGAACUGGGUUUCUGGUGUUCCUCAAGUGUAGAGAGAGAAGGAUGAUGUAGCGAUGAUGAUAAACUCAGUAUCACUCUCAUGUGUACAUUGAGGAGCACCGAUGAUUUUGUUUCAAGCACUUUUGAGCUUCUCUCUCUCUCUCUCUCUGUGAUUUUGGUUUUUUGUUUUUCUGAAUCUGUGAUCUGUUAACAAUCAGUACCAAUGCAAUAUGGAUACAAGAAGUUCGGCUGAAUCUGUUUGCAAUUCUGAUCAUGAACUGUUUGCUACUAUAAAAUAAAGUAAAUUAAUUUCAGACCACUUAAGAAUUUAAGCUGAUGAAGCAGGAAUUUAUUGUUGGUCUGAGACUUAACAAAAUAAUUUCAAACAGAGGUUGAAUUUGGAUUCUAAUAUGGCCUGGAUGAAUGAAACUUUAAGAAAUUAAGCUGAAAGUGAAAGAUCCAUUCUUUUGGGAAUGUGAAAAACCCGAAACAAUUGCCAAUGAGGAUUUGUUGAGUUGGUAAGGAUCCCAAUGGGUACCCUCCCCUUCCCCUAAAUUUUUGUUCUUAAAAAUAAGAGACCCCAAACAAUUACUUGUACCAUGAGCUAGAAUGAAGAAGAAUGAAACUGUCUAGAGCAAACUCUGAACUCUAUACAGAAUACAAGUUUACUAUUUGUACGAGCGGAGGAAGAUUUUUGUUACUCAGAAGAGAUCUAUUAAUAGCUACAAUGAAAAGUAUUUGUCAUCAAGGCCUAUUAGCUCAGCUGGUUAGAGCGUCGUGCUAAUAACGCGAAGGUCGCAGGUUCGAGACCUGCAUGGGCCAACUUUUUAACAAUUUUUUGCUUCCUACAUGUGCGUUGCUUUUACUCUUAUAAAAACCUUUCUCGACUCUGAGUUGCGGGUUCGAAACCGGCUGCUUUCAUUUUUUAUCACUUUUCUUUUCUUUUUCUGGUUUUCUGAAUGAUUAAUGUCACAUUCCCCUUCAUUUGUACUAUACUUGCAAAAGUCUACAUUGUAGACAAAAUAAAACAUUGAUAAUAUGUGGAGUAGGAGGGAAAGGAUAUGACCGUGCUCAUCUGACCACCAGUAUCUUUAUCCCAAACAAGAAGUUUGCCACUUGGCAAACAACACAUCUAAACUCAUUACCUUCAUUCAACCAAUGAGAGAGCAAGCCUUAUCCUAUCCAUUAUCCAACUCACUCCAAAGCCCACCAAAUAACUCCCCAAUUGCCACACAAAAACUCUUCCAAAUACUCUGUUUCAAACACAGAGAUCACAUUGGAACUGCAAAACAACACCAACCAUGGCAGCCUCACUCCAAGCAGCUGCUACUCUUAUGCAGCCCACCAAGGUGGGCGCGCCGGCAAGGACCAGCCUUCAGCUCAGGCCCUCCCAGAAUGUCUCCAAGGCCUUUGGCUUGGAACCAUCUGCCUCUGCUAGGCUCACUUGCUCUCUGCAGUCUGAUCUCAAGGACUUUGCUCACAAGUGUGUUGAUGCCUCUAAGAUUGCUGGCUUUGCUCUUGCUACUUCUGCCCUCGUCGUCUCGGUAUGCUGCUUAAUUCCAUUUCACUGCUUGAUUAGUUUCUUACUUCAUGUGCUUACAACUGUAUAAAAGAAGAACAAUGAUGAAUUUUAUUAUCUUUAUUAUGUAUGUGUAUAGGGUAUGAACUUUCUAUGGUUUAGAGGGAUGUAGAUUAGUUUGUGGUACCUGUUGUAUAUACAAAGGUUUCAGAUGUUCUCUGUGGCAUGCUAGAUAUUUGACAAGUUAUGUUGCUAGAAUGACACUCUGAAUGGGACAUCAUUUGGGCAUAAGUCGAUCUGAUAUGAUGAGUUUAGAUUCACCAUUUGAUAACACAAUCAUCGGAUUUUCUAUCGUUGUGCUCGAUGGAUCUCACAUAAACAAUUUAGAUCGACAGUCUGACAACAUAAUGUCACUGUAGUUGUUAGAUUUCAUUUCAAUUCUGGUGGUGAUGAAUGGUGAUUAACAUUUUAUCAUUGUUGGCAACCACUUGUGUUUCCAGGGAGCAGGUGCAGAGGGAGUUCCAAAGAGGCUGACCUUUGAUGAAAUCCAGAGCAAGACAUACUUGGAAGUGAAGGGGACAGGAACUGCAAACCAAUGCCCAACCAUUGAUGGAGGGUUAGAAGCAUUCGCCUUCAAGCCGGGCAAGUACACCGCCAAGAAGUUCUGCCUAGAGCCCACAUCCUUCACUGUCAAGGCAGAGAGUGUGAACAAGAAUGCUCCACCAGAGUUCCAAAACACCAAGCUGAUGACCCGUCUAACCUACACCCUCGAUGAGAUCGAAGGGCCUUUCGAAGUGUCCCCAGAUGGCACUCUCAAGUUUGAGGAGAAAGAUGGGAUUGACUAUGCUGCAGUCACAGUCCAGCUCCCCGGAGGCGAGCGUGUCCCUUUCCUCUUCACCAUCAAACAGCUUGUAGCCUCAGGCAAACCCGAAAACUUUGGAGGGGAGUUUCUAGUACCAUCGUACCGCGGUUCUUCUUUCUUGGACCCAAAGGGUAGAGGAGGCUCCACUGGUUAUGACAAUGCCAUUGCAUUGCCAGCAGGAGGCAGAGGAGAUGAGGAGGAGUUGGCCAAGGAGAACAUCAAGAAUACUGCUUCAUCAAAAGGGAAGAUCACACUGAGUGUGAC
rnacentral:lncRNA from 1 species